GACAGAGGUGCCGAGCGUUAGGCGGAAUCACUGGGCUUAAAGCGUGUGUAGGCGGACCGUUAAGUACCUUGUGAAAUCCCCACGGCUCAACCGUGGAACUGCUUGGUAUACUGGCGAUCUUGAGCCACUUAGGGCUACCGGAACAAAUGGUGGAGCGGUGAAAUGCGUAGAUAUCAUUUGGAACGCCAAUGGUGAAAACAGGUAGCUGGGAGUGUGCUGACGCUGAGACACGAAAGCCAGGGGAGCAAACGGG
rnacentral:rRNA from 1 species